UCAUAUGGAUUAGAGUUUGAUCAUGGCUCAGGAUGAACGCUGGCGGCGUGCCUAAUACAUGCAAGUCGAGCGAACUGAUUAGAAGCUUGCUUCUAUGACGUUAGCGGCGGACGGGUGAGUAACACGUGGGCAACCUGCCUGUAAGACUGGGAUAACUUCGGGAAACCGAAGCUAAUACCGGAUAGGAUCUUCUCCUUCAUGGGAGAUGAUUGAAAGAUGGUUUCGGCUAUCACUUACAGAUGGGCCCGCGGUGCAUUAGCUAGUUGGUGAGGUAACGGCUCACCAAGGCAACGAUGCAUAGCCGACCUGAGAGGGUGAUCGGCCACACUGGGACUGAGACACGGCCCAGACUCCUACGGGAGGCAGCAGUAGGGAAUCUUCCGCAAUGGACGAAAGUCUGACGGAGCAACGCCGCGUGAGUGAUGAAGGCUUUCGGGUCGUAAAACUCUGUUGUUAGGGAAGAACAAGUNCGAGAGUAACUGCUCGUACCUUGACGGUACCUAACCAGAAAGCCACGGCUAACUACGUGCCAGCAGCCGCGGUAAUACGUAGGUGGCAAGCGUUAUCCGGAAUUAUUGGGCGUAAAGCGCGCGCAGGCGGUUUCUUAAGUCUGAUGCGAAAGCCCACGGCUCAACCGUGGAGGGUCAUUGGAAACUGGGGAACUUGAGUGCACAAGAGAAAAGCGGAAUUCCACGUGUAGC
rnacentral:rRNA from 1 species